AUCCGCUAAGGAGUGUGUAACAACUCAC
rnacentral:ncRNA from 2 species